GGGGGCGACCGGAUUCGACUGGAUUGCCACAAGCGACGGUGGCGUGUCGUGGUUGAUCAGCCGGCCACGUAAAAAGCUGAUCAAACCAAACUGCCAACACUGGCAACUUUGCAAUGGCCGCCUAGUGAUAGGCGGUCGUGACUGCGGAAGCCCCGCCGGAGGCGUCCAAAAGUCACUCGCCAAUUCCGGCUGGUUUCGGGUCAAUGGACCCUACGCCCGAAACGAGACCUCGUGGGGACCUGGUUCCGCAAGGCCUGGCCUGUUGAGCCGAGCGGAAUGAGAUCACUCAGCAGCCUACACACGUAGAGGCCGUCGCCAAGGGAUCACAGGACGCGGGUUCAAUUCCCGCCGCCUCCAUCC
rnacentral:tmRNA from 1 species